rnacentral:rRNA from 1 species
UACGAAGGGGGCUAGCGUUGCUCGGAAUGACUGGGCGUAAAGGGCGCGUAGGCGGUUUGUACAGUCAGAUGUGAAAUUCCUGGGCUCAACCUGGGGGCUGCAUUUGAUACGUAUGGACUGGAGUGAGGAAGAGGGUCGUGGAAUUCCCAGUGUAGGAGGUGAAAUUCGUAGAUAUUGGGAAGAACACCGGUGGCGAAGGCGGCGACCUGGUCCUUUACUGACGCUGAGGCGCGAAAGCGUGGGGAGCAAACAGG